rnacentral:rRNA from 1 species
UACGUAGGGGGCUAGCGUUGUCCGGAAUCAUUGGGCGUAAAGCGCGUGUAGGCGGUCCGGUAAGUCUGCUGUGAAAGUCGGGGGCUCAACCCUCGAAUGCCGGUGGAUACUGUCGGGCUUGAGUACGGAAGAGGCGAGUGGAAUUCCUGGUGUAGCGGUGAAAUGCGCAGAUAUCAGGAGGAACACCAAUUGCGAAGGCAGCUCGCUGGGACGUUACUGACGCUGAGGGACGAAAGCUAGGGGAGCGAAAGGG